rnacentral:rRNA from 1 species
GUGGGGAAUAUUGGACAAUGGGCGAAAGCCUGAUCCAGCCAUGCCGCGUGUGUGAAGAAGGUCUUCGGAUUGUAAAGCACUUUAAGUUGGGAGGAAGGGCAGUAAGUUAAUACCUUGCUGUUUUGACGUUACCAACAGAAUAAGCACCGGCUAACUUCGUGCCAGCAGCCGCGGUAAUACGAAGGGUGCAAGCGUUAAUCGGAAUUACUGGGCGUAAAGCGCGCGUAGGUGGUUCAGCAAGUUGAAGGUGAAAUCCCCGGGCUCAACCUGGGAACUGCCUCCAAAACUACUGGGCUAGAGUACGGUAGAGGGUAGUGGAAUUUCCUGUGUAGCGGGGAAAUGCGUAGAUAUAGGAAGGAACACCAGUGGCGAAGGCGACUACCUGGACUGAUACUGACACUGAGGUGCGAAAGCGUGGGGAGCAAACAGGAUUAGAAACCCUGGUAGUCC